rnacentral:rRNA from 1 species
ACUCAAAUGAAUAGACGGGGGCCCGCACAAGCGGCGGAGCAUGCUGAUUAAUUCGAUGCAACGCGAAGAACCUUACCAAGGCUUGACAUACACCGGAAACUUCCAGAAAUGGUUGCCCCGCAAGGUCGGUGUACAGGUGGUGCAUGGUUGUCGUCAGCUCGUGUCGUGAGAUGUUGGGUUAAGUCCCGCAACGAGCGCAACCCUCGUCCUAUGUUGCCAGCGCGUUAUGGCGGGGACUCAUAGGAGACUGCCGGGGUCAACUCGGAGGAAGGUGGGGAUGAGGUCAAAUCAUCAUGCCCCUUAUGUCUUGGGCUUCAAGCAUGCUACAAUGGCCGGUACAAAGGGCUGCGAUACCGCGAGGUGGAGCGAAUCCCAAAAAGCCGGUCUCAGUUCGGAUUGGGGUCUGCAACUCGACCCCAUGAAGUCGGAGUCGCUAGUAAUCGCAGAUCAGCAACGCUGCGGUGAAUACGUUCCCGGGCCUUGUACACACCGCCCGU